ensembl:snRNA U6 U6 spliceosomal RNA
AUCCUCCCUUUGGAAGCACAUCUACUCAAACUGGAGUAGUACAGAGACUAUUAGCAUGACUUCCGUGCAAGGAUAACAUGCUAAUUCAUGAAGCAGCUUUUCCUGCUUUU